rnacentral:rRNA from 1 species
UACGUAGGGACCAAGCGUUGUUCGGAAUUACUGGGCGUAAAGGGCGCGUAGGCGGCCAUCUAAGUCAGACGUGAAAUCCCCCGGCUUAACCUGGGAACUGCGUCUGAUACUGGAAGGCUUGAGUAUGGGAGAGGGAUGUAGAAUUCCAGGUGUAGCGGUGAAAUGCGUAGAUAUCCGGAGGAAUACCAGUGGCGAAGGCGGCACGCUGGGCCAUAACUGACGCUAAGACUCGAAAGCAUGGGUAGCGAACGGG